rnacentral:rRNA from 1 species
UACGUAGGGGGCAAGCGUUGUCCGGAUUUAUUGGGCGUAAAGCGUGCGCAGGCGGUUCGUUGUGUCGGCGGUGAAAGCCCCGGGCUUAACCUGGGAAUGGCCGUUGAAACUGGCGAACUGGAGUGUGGCAGAGGGGGGUGGAAUUCCGCGUGUAGCAGUGAAAUGCGUAGAGAUGCGGAGGAACACUGAUGGCGAAGGCAGCCCCCUGGGCUGACACUGACGCUCAGGCACGAAAGCGCGGGGAGCGAACAGG